AGUGAACGCUGGCGGUAGGCCUAACACAUGCAAGUCGAACGGCAGCACAGUAAGAGCUUGCUCUUACGGGUGGCGAGUGGCGGACGGGUGAGGAAUACAUCGGAAUCUACUUUUUCGUGGGGGAUAACGUAGGGAAACUUACGCUAAUACCGCAUACGACCUACGGGUGAAAGCAGGGGAUCUUCGGACCUUGCGCGAUUGAAUGAGCCGAUGUCGGAUUAGCUAGUUGGCGGGGUAAAGGCCCACCAAGGCGACGAUCCGUAGCUGGUCUGAGAGGAUGAUCAGCCACACUGGAACUGAGACACGGUCCAGACCCCUACGGGAGGCAGCAGUGGGGAAUAUUGGACAAUGGGCGCAAGCCUGAUCCAGCCAUACCGCGUGGGUGAAGAAGGCCUUCGGGUUGUAAAGCCCUUUUGUUGGGAAAGAAAAGCAGCAGGUUAAUACCCCGCUGUUCUGACGGUACCCAAGGAAUAAGCACCGGCUAACUUCGUG
rnacentral:rRNA from 1 species